AUUGAACGCUAGCGGCAGGCUUAAUACAUGCAAGUCGAGGGGUAGCAGGUCUGUAGCAAUACAGAUGCUGACGACCGGCAAACGGGUGCGGAACACGUACAGAACCUUCCUUCGAGUGGGAGAUAGCCCAGGGAAACUUGGAGUAAUAUCCCAUAGGAUCAUAGAGUGGCAUCACUUAGUGAUUAAAGAUUUAUCGCUUGAAGAUGGCUGUGCGGCUGAUUAGGUAGUUGGUGUAGGUAACGGCUCACCAAGCCUUCGAUCAGUAACUGGUGUGAGGGCACCACCAGUCACACGGGCACUGAGACACGGGCCCGACUCCUACGGGAGGCAGCAGUAAGGAAUAUUGGGCAAUGGAGGCAACUUUGACCCAGCCAUGCCGCGUGGAGGAUGAAGGUCCUCUGGAUUGUAAACUUCUUUUAUUUGGGAAGAAAUGCCGAUUUUCUAAUUGGUUUGACGGUACCAGAUGAAUAAGCACCGGCUAACUCCGUGCCAGCCGCCGCCGUAAAAC
rnacentral:rRNA from 1 species